CGCGACUUCCCGGGUUCUGGACCUGCCGAGCUGUGUUCCCGCGGGGGUUCCGUGGGGCGCGCGAGCCAGUUGACUUGCUCUGCGGCGCGAGAUCCCGCGAGAGCAGGAGCUCGAGUAUUUCCCCGAAGGCGGGAGCGGAGCGCGGGUUUAGCUUGGAGCAAGGUGUCUGCAGUAUUUAUCGGUGGACCCAAAUUCAUGAAGAAUGAUCUCUGCACCCUCACGCUGACCUGAGAUCAUGAGAGGGAACAGGCUUGGAGCACCAAAUGCCAGCUUAGAUUGAUCAGCUGUGGCCUGGCCAGAGUUACCAAGAAAGCAGAGUGAAGACACCUGGAAAGAAGCUGUCGUGAUCAGUGCUUCCUGGAAGGCUGCAGGUUUGCUGUCAGAAUUCAGACAUGCUUCAUGAACACCUUUUCGUCCUGAGUAGCUUCUCACCGUCAGAACCAGAAGUAGAGUAAUAUCAUGGCCAAAUUACUGUCUAUGAGAUGAUAAACAUCAGUCGGGAAGGAAAGAAAGAAGUUCUGGAAGCGGAGAAGCCCAACAUCAAGGCGACAACAGAUUCAGGGUCUGGAGACAGCUUGCUGCCUGCUUCGCAGAGGACGGUCGUCGCUGUGUCCUCGUGGGGAAGAGGUGCGGGGCUCUGUGGGGUCUCUUACAAGGGCACCGAUCACAUCCAUGAGGCCCACUCCCCCAGGGCCUCCUCACCUCCCAAACGCCUCACCUCCUAAUGCCAUCACGUUGAAGUUAGGAUUUCAACAUGUCAGUGUUAGGGAGAACACACACAUUCAGCCUGUAGCAUUAUAAACGUGUACAUUUAAUGUGUUUUUAAUAGAUUUUAUGAGUUUGUGUAAAUUAAUUACUUACUGUAAUUAAUCACAUACUAUGUUCACCUCUCUUUCUAUGUGUCAAAA